UCAGAGCUAUCAUCAAUGGGCGUUUGGUCUAGUGGUAUGAUUCUCGCUUAGGGUGCGAGAGGUCCCGAGUUCAAUUCUCGGAACGCCCCUUCUUUUAUUUUUGUUAC
rnacentral:tRNA from 1 species